rnacentral:misc_RNA from 1 species
CCACCAAAAAUUUGCAUGAAAUGUUAUACAUUAAUGAGACAUAUUGAACAGCGAGGAACGACCUCUUUUAAUUUCAUUUUAACUAGCUGGCCGCAUACGUGCUCACUUGAAAGCUGUAUAUGUUUUUUAAAGAAAUCUGGCAGAAAGAAAAAGAAACCAUUUGGAAGACCACCAUCAGUUAAUAAAGAUGUUUGGACAAGAAAAUCAAUAAAUGAAAUAUUAGACAGUUUUUCUGAAAUGCCUCGCUUAUGCUAUGAGUCUAUCAGUAUAGUUAAUAACCCCCACAAAGAUUUAUGCAUCUGCAAGAUUUGUAAAAGAAUAUUUCAUCGACCUGUUUUACUUAAUAACUGCCAACAUUUAUUUUGUGCUUCAUGUAUUUUUCCAAAUUUAGUUGGAAAAUUAGAGACAGAAGCAAAAUGCAAGUUAUGUGGCUCUAAUAUAUCUUUAGGUAGCAUUUCAAAAGCAACAACUAUGCAAAAUAUCCUUGAAAAUAUAGUUCUAAAGUGUUCCGAAAAUUCAUGCAAAAGUAUAAACAAUAAGGAAGAACAUGAACAAGUAUGGAAAAGUGGAAACAUAUUACCCCAAUGUUCAGCAUCGUCUUCCUCUUCAUUGACAGUAACAGAUAUUUACAAAAUUAAUACAAAUAGUGAUAUUCCUAAAGAACUAGAAUAUGCAUUUGCUCACUUUGCAAAGCUAAAAAUGGCAAAAAACAAUUCACAUUCAUUUGAACUUCCUUCUGGCGGUCCAAGGGCUACACAGUUUUCAGUGACUACAAAGAGCUUUAAAACAUCAACUGAGACUAGUCAGAAAACCAUUUAUAGACGUCAAAAGCAAAUCCACCAAUCGCUAAUAGAUAAUGCAGGACCAACAAAAAAGGCAAAAAUACAACAAGUAGCACUUAUGCUCAAUUCUUUUAAUAAAAACGAUAAAAUUGAUAUUCUAAAAAAAUCAAAUCUCUCCCAAGUUGAGAUAGGACCAGAAGAUAUUGUAUCACUUAAAGCAGACUGUGGUUUACCUUGGGAAAAUAUGAAAAAAAUGAUAAGAUUUUUCCAGACAAAAAAUGUCAAAUUACCCUCACUUUCUAAUCAACGAAAAGUUGCAAAAUAUUGGUCAGGUAACGAUUUGAUUGUUGAAGAUAAAGAACUGCUGUUUGAAUUAAAAAACAAAAAAGGAACUUUUGAAUUGAAAGAUACACCUACAGCAUAUAUUAAUGAUUUGCCAUCACAUUUAAUCAAGGUACUGGAUCAGUUAGAAAGAUAUAACCAACUAACAUUUGAAAAGAUAACUCCUAGUGAAAUACAUAUAAAGAUUGGUGGUGACCACGGAGGUGGUUCAUUUAAAAUGAGCUAUCAGGUAGCUAAUGUUGCUACACCCAAUUCAAAAAAUAAUACGGCUGUUUUCAAUAUAUUUGAGGCCAAAGAUUAUAGAGCAAACCUCAAAAUUUCACUCUCAAGACACAUAGAUGAAAUUAGACAGCUUCAAGCAAUGAAAUGGAGGGAAAAAUGUUUGCUUGUAUUUAUAUUUGGUGAUUAUGUAUUUUUGUGUGCUAUUUAUAGCAUCACAGGAGCAACUGGUCGUCAUUGCUGCUUAUUCUGUGAAAUCACAUCAAGUGAAAUGCAAUUGAACAUUGAAGCUAGAACGCGACCGAUUCUUUUGAGAACGCUUGCAACUUUAAAAUCAGAUUAUGAACAAUUCAAAAAUGAUGGAGGCAAUAUCAAACAUGCAAAGAAUUUCAAUAAUGUAAUUGAUGAGCCGUUAUUUGAUAUACCAAUUGAACAGAUAGCAAUACCAGCUCUACACAUCUCAUUGGGAAUAUUUCUAAAAUUCUUCAAAAUGUUAGAGGUAGAAUGUCAUCUCCUUGAUAUCAAACUUGCUGGAUUUCUAGCAAUAAAUGAUAAACACCUUGAAUCAAGUGAAUUUGACAAAUAUGUUGAAAAGCAGGCAGAGAUACAUCAAUUAGAAUAUCACGUUGAUAAUAUAAAUACAAAAAUUCUUCUUAUUCAAGAUACAAUAGUCGUUGAAGUAUUUCGCAGCCCUAAAAAUACAGAGUACUUGCAGUUAAUGUACUCUGAGAGAAUUGCAUUGUUAAAAUCGAAGAGAAUAGAAAAGAAGGAAAAAUUGCGGAAUGCUCAAAAUUUAAGUUAAUAGAAGGAAUGGGGCCAAUAUUAAAGGAAAUUGAAUCUGUUUUGCAGUCAUGUGGAGUACAACGUCAAGCUUAUCACAGUUGCUCGUUCGUUGGAAAUCAUGUUCACAAAAUGUUAAAGGUUGAUAACAUAAAAAAGUUAUGUGACUCAAUUUCUCAAACAGUUUUUAAUAAUAUAGCAGAUAGAGAACAUCUAAUUUAUAUGGAGGCGGUUGACAUACAGCAAAAAUUUAAAGCAUUAUUUCACAAAUAUUCA